rnacentral:rRNA from 1 species
UAAUGGCGAAUGAACAGGGAAAAGCCCAGCACUGAAUCCCGCAGCUUUACGCUGUUGGGAAUUGUGGUGUUUAGGACUUCUUAUUCGUUUGGAGACCCACCUAAAGUUCACUUGAUUGUGACUCUAGGCCCAGGGAGGGUGUAAGGCCCGUCUGGGUGGGUUUUCUUGCGUCUGAGUUGUCCUUAGAGUCGGGUUGUUUGAGAUUGCAGCCCAAAGUGGGUGGUAAACUCCAUCUAAGGCUAAAUACUGAACACUAGUCCGAUAGUCAACAAGUACCGUGAGGGAAAGUUGAAAAGAACUUUGAAGAGAGAGUUCAAUAGUGCGUGAAGCCGUCUAGAGGUAAACGGAUGGGGCCGAAAAAGGCUGUGGGGAUUCAGCCAGUGAGGCGGCGAUGUUGUAUUUAUUCGACCUCAUUUAGGGGCGGAUGGUGCGAUAUGCUGUUGCUUUGUUGGUGCACUUUCCCAUAGUCUGCACUAUGACCGGCGGUUUGGCGGUCUGUCGUUGGAUGGCGGUAGCGUCGGUUUCGGCUGGCGUGAAACAUCUGACACGGAAUUGUCGAACUGUCGGGACUGCGAUGCAAGCCUUGAGGCGCAUAUGACAGGGGUUGAAUUGGUGCUGCUUUGGGCUGACUUCAAUGAAGGCUGUUCGAGGUGGCGCUAGUUUGGCCUGCCCUCUAUGAUUUGUGUCAAUAGUCUAUGGUGUUAAAGUAGGCAACCUAUCUGACCCGUCUUGAAACACGGACCAAGGAGUCUAGCAUGUACGCGAGUCAUUGAGCUUUACGAAACUCAAAGGCGAAGUGAAAGCAAAGACUUGCUUCGGCAGGUUUAGAUGUGAUCCGGGUUGUCCAAAAGACGCCCGGCGCAACAUCGGCCCGUCUUAACGUGUAUUACACAGGGGCGGCGCUAGAGCGUACAUGCUGAAACCCGAAAGAUGGUGAACUAUGCUUGCGCAGGUUGAAGCCAGAGGAAACUCUGGUGGAGGACCGUACCGAUUCUGACGUGCAAAUCGAUCGUCAGACUUGAGUAUAGGGGCGAAAGACUAAUCGAACCAUCUAGUAGCUGGUUCCCUCCGAAGUUUCCCUCAGGAUAGCUGGCAUACGGAAACUUAAUCAGUUUUAUCCGGUAAAGCGAAUGAUUAGAGGUAUUGGGGACGAAAUGUCCUCAACCUAUUCUCAAACUUUAAAUGGGUGAGAAGCUGGACUCGCCUAAUUGGAGUCUGGCAUUGAAUGAGUAUGCCAAGUGGGCCAUUUUUGGUAAGCAGAACUGGCGCUGUGGGAUGAACCAAACGUCAAGUUAAAGUGCCUAACACGAAGCUCAUAAGAUACCACAAAAGGUGUUGGUUGAUAUAGACAGCAGGACGGUGGCCAUGGAAGUUGGAAUCCGCUAAGGAGUGUGUAACAACUCACCUGCCGAAUCAACCAGCCCUGAAAAUGGAUGGCGCUGAGCUUUGGACUUAUACUUGACCAACACUGUAGACUGAACUGAUUAUAUACAGUGUUGAGUAGGAGGGUCGCCGUGGUGAGCGUUGAAGCUUCGUCUGUGAAGACGAGUGGAGCCGC